rnacentral:rRNA from 1 species
UACGGAGGGGGUUAGCGUUGUUCGGAAUUACUGGGCGUAAAGCGCGCGUAGGCGGACUAUUAAGUCGAGGGUGAAAUCCCGGGGCUCAACCCCGGAACUGCCUUCGAUACUGGUAGUCUUGAGUUCGAGAGAGGUGAGUGGAAUUCCGAGUGUAGAGGUGAAAUUCGUAGAUAUUCGGAGGAACACCAGUGGCGAAGGCGGCUCACUGGCUCGAUACUGACGCUGAGGUGCGAAAGCGUGGGGAGCAAAACAGGAAUUAGAUACCCGGCGUAAGUC